rnacentral:rRNA from 1 species
GACGAACGCUGGCGGCGUGCCUAAUACAUGCAAGUAGAACGCACAGUUUAUACCGUAGCUUGCUCCACCAUAAACUGUGAGUUGCGAACGGGUGAGUAACGCGUAGGUAACCUGCCUGGUAGCGGGGGAUAACUAUUGGAAACGAUAGCUAAUACCGCAUAAUAUUGAUUAUUGCAUGAUAAUUGAUUGAAAGAUGCUAUUGCAUCACUACCAGAUGGACCUGCGUUGUAUUAGCUAGUAGGUGAGGUAACGGCUCACCUAGGCGACGAUACAUAGCCGACCUGAGAGGGUGAUCGGCCACACUGGGACUGAGACACGGCCCAGACUCCUACGGGAGGCAGCAGUAGGGAAUCUUCGGCAAUGGACGAAAGUCUGACCGAGCAACGCCGCGUGAGUGAAGAAGGUUUUCGGAUCGUAAAGCUCUGUUGUAAGAGAAGAACGGGUGUGAGAGUGGAAAGUUCACACUGUGACGGCAUCUUACCAGAAAGGGACGGCUAACUACGUG